rnacentral:rRNA from 1 species
CCUACGGGAGGCAGCAGUGAGGAAUAUUGGUCAAUGGGCGCGAGCCUGCACCAGCCAAGUAGCGUGAAGGAUGACUGCCCUACGGGUUGUAAACUUCUUUUAUAAAGGAAUAAAGUGAGGCACGUGUGCCUUUUUGUCUGUACUUUAUGAAUAAGGAUCGGCUAACUCCGUGCAAGCAGCCGCGGUAAUACGGAGGAGCCGAGCGUUAUUCGGAUUUAUUGGGUUGAAAGGGAGAGUAUGUGGGUUGUUAAGUCAGUUGUGAAAGUUUUCGGCUCAACCGUAAAAUUGCAAUUGAUACUGGCAGUCUUGAGUACAGUUGAGGUAGGCGGAAUUCGUGGUGUAGCGGUGAAAUGCUUAGAUAUCACGAAGAACACCGAUUGCGAAGGCAGCUUACUAAACUGCCACUGACAUUGAUGCUCGAAAGUGUGGGUAUCAAACAGGAUUAGAUACCCGGGUAGUC